rnacentral:rRNA from 2 species
GGAGCUAAUACCGGAUAACAUUUUCUCUUGCAUAAGAGAAAAUUGAAAGAUGGUUUCGGCUAUCACUUACAGAUGGGCCCGCGGUGCAUUAGCUAGUUGGUGAGGUAACGGCUCACCAAGGCAACGAUGCAUAGCCGACCUGAGAGGGUGAUCGGCCACACUGGGACUGAGACACGGCCCAGACUCCUACGGGAGGCAGCAGUAGGGAAUCUUCCGCAAUGGACGAAAGUCUGACGGAGCAACGCCGCGUGAGUGAUGAAGGCUUUCGGGUCGUAAAACUCUGUUGUUAGGGAAGAACAAGUACAAGAGUAACUGCUUGUACCUUGACGGUACCUAACCAGAAAGCCACGGCUAACUACGUGCCAGCAGCCGCGGUAAU